CAAUUCCUGGCAGAAUUUAGAGCAUGCAGAAACUUAACACUCUGGAAAUGGCUCAUUUUAAUCUAAUUGUUGGCAUAGGUAGAUUUUUCCUGAGGUGGUUGAAAGUGCUUUGGUCACUUGAAUAAAAACUGUGUAGAUUACUUGGAAUUUCAACAGCUUUAAAGGGCAUUUACCUACAGCCUUGAUUUUUAUAGUACUUCAUGCCUUGUUAACCAGCAAUAAAACUGACCAUUAUUUGUAAAAAAUAAAGCUCAAAGACCCCUCUGAUCUUUAAAUGAGAAUACCAGAUAAUAACUACUCACUGCUUAUUCUCAGAUUUGUAUAAGCUGUAAGUAUAUACAUAAUUAAAUCAAUCAAAUCAACAAAUAUUUAUUGAGCACUAAGAAUUGCCUGAAGGGCUGAAAACAGAGCAGUAACAAGACUAAAGAGACCCCUGCCUUCUUGGAGCUUAUAGUCUGGUCAGGAAGACAAACAUUGAAUAAGCAGUCAUCAGUGUAACAAGGAUCAGCUUCAAUGUAGAAAGCAGCACGUUUGGGAAUGUCUGGUAGGAACUUAACUGCCAGAGAGGAAAGGCUUCCCAGAGGAAACCCGAGACCUGAAAGGUCAGGAACUCUGUACAGGGACUAUGUAGACAAGGCAUGUGGACCGUUUUCCCAAGAGACUUUGAUUGGCUCUACAAGUCAAGUUUGAUUCAUUAAAGGAAAGCACACCAUUCCAGUUGAAGCCUUGGUAAGUUUAUCAGUUUCCCUAAUUGUGUCCUGUAACAAAUGAAACCAGAUUCUUAUUGCACUUACACAAAUAACUAUAUUGCCAUUAGUUAAGAAUACUAACAAAUAGUCUCCAAAUUCUAAGCAAUAAGGGAGAGAGAAACAAAUAUGCUCCAAAUUUUGUUCAGAGGAUUAUACUUUACUCAAUUGUUAAAAUCUGUAAAUACCUCAAAAGAAAAGUUUUCUUGACUCUGAUAAACAAAGGAUCAGCAACAUUUUAAGCAAGGUCAAGAUUACUUUAGUCUUCUAUUAGUUUAGUCCCCAUACAGUUAACUCCUGUACUGCUUGAUAUUCACAAACAUUCAGCCAUCCAUGAGUUCUAAAAGGUUUUUCCUCUAUUUUAAUGUCACAUUGUACCAAGUUAUCAGAAAUCCACAUUCAAGAACACCUUUUGAGUCCUAUAGCU
rnacentral:lncRNA from 1 species